AAAAAAAAAGUAUUUUUGAAGAAAAAUAACAUGUUUUCACAAAUCAAAAGUCUGAAUCUAUUUUUAAAAACAUUAUAUUAUUUUUUGUCAUCUCAGUGAAUCACAGGUUUUUUAAGUUGUGGUUGUUUGACCCCGUGUCGAGGUCAGCCCAUAACAGCCGCGUUCAGUCUGUAUGUUUGGGUUAAAAACAAAUAUUGUUCAUUUUUUCAGUUCGACAGAAACAAACUCAGACCUACGUGACGUGGUGAUAACUAGUCAGGGACUAAAACGUUUAAUCAAGUAAACUGCAGUGUCUGUUAUUAAUUAUCACAUUUUAAUUGAAAAUCUUUUAGCAGCAAGAUAAGCAACAUUUCAACUCUAAAACACUUUCUGCUGCGAGAUUAUUGAAUAAAUGAACACACGAGGUCACAAACAAAUAUAUUUAUAGUUAUAAUCUGUUAUUGACCUUUAACCAUCAGAUUGGAGGAAAGUCAUAGAGCUUCUUUAGAAACAUGGACUCUGGACGUUAGCAUUAGCAUCAUGCUUAGCAUUGGGAUGCUGUUUUGGGCUAGCAUAGCUUCUCAGGCAGGCUAACUCCUUUUAGAACAAGUUGAGCUCAUCAAUAAUCUUUCCCAGCGUUCAAUCAGAUCGUAUAGAAGCAGGAAUUAAACCACAGAGCCGGGAGAAGCCGCUUUGUCGUCCGUCGCUGUUGUGCGUCACAUUUACGGGUGUAUUCGUUUGGGACUCAUGUCUCAGAUUCCUUUGGGUUUCUUCAAGGUUCUUCUGUGGACGUCAGACAGAAACAAGUUUAUCAGCAGUUUUCUUUUCCUCCGAGGGAAACUUAUCUGCCGGUUGGGUUGUAUCGGGACACGCAGCGCUCUCCGGAACAGAUUAUCACAGGCUCUGCUGCCUAUAAAUACUGAUGAAGACGCCUGCAGCGUCCAUCAGCCGGCUGACUGGCUGGACAGGAAGGACUCCAGCUCCUCUGGAUCAACCCGGACCUGAAAGCCUUUGCUCUCUCUCAAGGCAGCCAUGAAGAUCCUCGUCAUCCUCGUCUUCCUCACAGGUUGUAAUGGUGGACAGUAUGACCAUCCGUCCAGAAGCCAGGUGAAGAUGGCGCAGGAUGCUUACUGGGACUAUGUCCAGAAGUCAACGAUGACCCCAAAGGACUGCGUGUGGGACAUCCGACAUUCACGUCCAGGACAGUAUCUGUGCUCCCUCAUCUCACACAGCGUCGAGUCGGUCCAGAAGUUCUUCCGCCUCGUGUACGCUCACAUCGUUCUGUGGAGCACCCACUUCUACCACAGGCUCUGCCAAGAGGUAGAUCAGCUGCACCAACACCUCCACGACUUUCUGCACCAUUUGGAAUAUGACGUACAUCACCACGCCAAGGAGCUGGUGGCUCAAAUCCGCUGGCAGCUGCAGAGUAUCAAGAUCUUGGCAGCCCACUACAUUGAAGCCCUGGACCCCACAGGCCUGAAGAUGGCGCUGCUGGAGAAGACCAAGGAGCUGAAUGAGCAUUUGAAAAGGUGCUUUGAACUCCUGGAAACUCACCAUUAUGAACACUAUUGUCACCAUCACCAACAUCAUGAUCACAAACCUCCUGGUCACCAUCAAGUCCAACAUCCUGGUCACCAUCAAGUCCAACAUCCUGGUCACCAUCAAGUCCAACAUCCUGGUCACCAUCAAGUCCAACAUCCUGGUCACCAUCAAGUCCAACAUCCUGGCUACUAUCAUUGUCACCAUUAUGGUCACAAACCUCAUGGCCACCAUCUUGGCCACCAUCUUGGUCACCAUCAAGUCCAACAUCCUGGCUACCAUCAUUGUCAACAUUAUGGUCACAAACCUCAUGGCCACCAUCUUGGCCACCAUCUUGGUCAGCAUCUUGGCCACCAUCUUGGUCAGCAUCUUGGUCAGCAUCUUGGUCAGCAUCUUGGUCACAAACCUCCUGGCCACCAUCAUCCUCCUGGCUGUGGACCUGAGACGAAGAAGAAAAUAGAUGAAAGCAUGAAAGCCUUUAAGACCACCUUGUUCUCCCUGGUCAGGAAGUUUGAGAUCGAACUCGCCCAAACUACCGCAAAGAUCAACAGGAAAAUGGUUCCUGAAGGAAUAAAACACCACGGCCAGCUGAUUAAAGACUCAGAUCACCUGAAGGAUGACCUGGAGAGUCUGUGGCGAGACUGGAUACUGCUAAGUCAGCAAAAGGUCGGCUGAAUGGAUUUGACAGUGGCUUCAUCCAAGGGUCAACAUAAACAUAAGCAUCUUACUUUUACUUUUAAUACUAAAACACAUUGAUUUAAACAUAUUUUUUCAAGUCAAUAUAAUUUGUUUUUGUUUCUGUAAAAUGUCUGUGGUAUUUAUUGAUCAAAAUACAAGAUUGAAAUGCAGAGACUUGUUUUUUUCUUAAACUAUUUAAAACUUAUUCAAAAGCAACUAAAUUGUACUUCUUCCUUUUGUUUUGAGAAAUAUGUAAGUAUGGAAAUACUUGCAUUCUCCCAAAUAUAGCUACAAUAGAGCCUCCUGUAUUACAAUAAAGUUCAGAAAAACCAGCUUUUCUCUCAAAUAACUAGAGGAAUUGUAGGUUCAUCUCCCCGCGAUACAUUCAGGUUAUUAAAGCAGCAAUAAAAAGCAGAUAAAAACAUCUUCAUCACACAGGAACCAGCUGGUGGGGAGCGAGGUCCGAAGAGUUUACAGGUUCCUUCACGGUUCUGACCUGGUUGCAUGUUCAGAGUGCAACGUGGAGCCAAAACAACAAACACAGCAAUAAAAGGUGACAACAGCACAGUCUGAGCUGGGAACUUCGGACGCAGGUCAGAAAUCUUCCAGACAUUUAUUGGAUCUCAUCGGUGCCACCUGAUCGGUAUAAAUACUCAGAGAAGGAUUCAUUCGGCCUCACAGACGUCACAGAUCAAA